UACGGAGGGUGCAAGCGUUAAUCGGAAUUACUGGGCGUAAAGCGCACGCAGGCGGUUGGUUAAGUCAGAUGUGAAAUCCCCGGGCUCAACCCGGGAACUGCAUUUGAAACUGGCCAGCUGGAGUCUCGUAGAGGGAGGUAGAAUUCCAGGUGUAGCGGUGAAAUGCGUAGAGAUCUGGAGGAAUACCGGUGGCGAAGGCGGCCUCCUGGACGAAGACUGACGCUCAGGUGCGAAAGCGUGGGGAGCAAACAGG
rnacentral:rRNA from 1 species